UUUUUUUUACAUUUUAAUUGUACACGGCUGACAUUAAAUUGUGUAUUGUUAGAAGAAAAUCAAUUAGCAUGGAAAACGCAGAAAAUUUAAAUAAUUUAAUACAUAAUGUUUGUGAUAUUGUUUACAAUUUGAAUGCAGCAGUGGUUGCAUAUAGAAAAGAACACACAAUAAUUUAUCAAAAAUUACAAAUUAUUCAAAAACAACAAAUAACAACGCUCUAUUCAAUGGUUACUUGAAACCAAAGGAGGUGCUGGACUUUGAAAAUGAUGAAGAAGUUCUGGAAACAAGAUUGACAAAAAAAAUGGUUCUAAGUUUUUUUAAGAAAAUUUCGCAUUAAGCAGCGAAAGUGUAAAAGAGUGCAUUACCGGAUCAGAAGUCUUGAGUCGUUAUAUAAAGAAUAAAUUUCUUUUUGAAACAAAUAUGCGAGGUGUAUGUUGAUCAUCGAUCUAAAUAAUUAACAUAUUUAAAAUAAAAAUGGUUCGGUAGUUGAAGUGAGAUGCUAUGAUCUGAUUUAUGAUUAAAAUUCCAACAUCCCUACUUGAUAGAGGAAAGCCGAACUCUAGAUGGUGGUUAAGAUUAAAGCAAAUAUAGUCAAUUGAAGUAGGAACUGAACUAUUCUAUGUUCUAUGUCAAUUCUAGAGCAGUAGGUGGAAGUAUUAAAUCUGUUUGCAAAUAAUUUAGCCUUUAGCACCUUGACGUUUUGUUUAACGAAAAACCAAUUUUUUUUAAUAAAGAUGAGCCUCAACAACGAAAAACUGUGUUUGAUUUAGAGAAUUAACAUAAUGUAUAUACUUUUCUAACACAAAAAGAAACUAUUGA